GCCAGACUCGCUUGGGCGGGGGGGAAGGGGAGGAGGAGCGAGCGAGCGAGCGAGCGGAGCCUGCGCAGCAGCGCCCUUGGCACGUGGUCCGCUGGGGAGGGGUCAGGUGGAGGAGCCGCCUGGGACUGCGGACAAGGAGCCGCAAAAGUUGCGGCAACUAGAGCAGGUGCGAGGCUGGACUCGGGAGGGUCCCCUCGGAUUCAGUGGGGUCGACUCGUGGCCUCCUCGCGAAGAGGAAGCAGAGAGAAUAACAGAAUCAUCACAUUUUAGAACUGGAAAGGACCUAGAGGGUCUCCUAGUUCAACCCCUGCUCAGUUCAGAGGGAGUUUUGUCCAAAGCCACUUAAUUACAUCGGAGAAGAGAUUCAAAGACUGCCUUGGGCCUUGUAAGAUUCAGAAUCAGCUGAAAACAAAGAGGCUCUUGUGCAUCCUUCCAUCUUCAGCUGAGAGGUAUUUGAGAUCCUUCUCCAUGGUAGACCCCAAGAUGCUCUGCAAGAUCCAUGCUACCCAACCUGCCCACUUUCCGAUAGUCAGUGAAGACCUGGUUCUUUCAGCAGGCUUUUAAUGAAGUUAUGCUUUUGUCUGUAUCUGCUGGUCUCUGUGCAUUUAAGACAUUUGUUGCUGCUUCUGAUUUUUAUUUUGCUGUAAUUUGUACAAUGUUUGUCUGACUUUGUUUAACCUUUGCUGUGAGCUGCCUUGAGCUUUUGCAGACCAGAAAAGCAGGAAAUACAUGUUUUUAAAUAAAUAGUUUUAUUGUG